GUCAGGAUUAUACUGAUCCAGCAUGCAGAGUAGUGUGACACCCUAGAAUUAAGGGUAACGUCUAACCAGGCCUUAGAAUGGCCAGACUUAAUGGGCCCGAGAAUAGAGAGAAAACUAGGUCAGGGACACAGAACAAGACGCUGCGAUAAGGAAAAGCCAAAAGUCAAGGGUACCAGAAAUGAGGGAAGUCAAAAUGAAGCAAAAAGGCAAAAAAC